UGUCCUCUGCAGUGUGCGAUCGCGCACCUUACAUAUUGCCUUGCUCCUAUUGAACGACUCCGGGACGACCACGCAGACGCCGGUGUGCAUGUCCGCCACGAGCGGAAAGCCUGAAGGCGCUGCCGACUCUUCCCACCUGAUCCUCUGGAUCAAGGUCGUUUGAUGCGCACCGCCACAGCGCGGAGGACGC
rfam:Dokdonella koreensis DS-123, complete genome.